rnacentral:rRNA from 1 species
AACGAACGCUGGCGGCAUGCCUAACACAUGCAAGUCGAACGAGCCCUUCGGGUCUUGUUUCCUACGGCUGCUUAACGACGGGUAACUUGCCCGUAGGGUAGCUAUAUCUCCCAGGAAGGGGACCGAAUACCACGACAGGUCUUCGCACAAAAGACUUAUCGCCUUUGGAUGGGCCCGCGUUGGAUUAGCUAGUUGGUAGGGUAAAAGCCGACCAAGGCGACGAUCCAUAGCUGGUCUGAGAGGAUGAUCAGCCACACUGGGACUGAGACACGGCCCAGACUCCUACGGGAAGCAGCAGUGGGGAAUAUUGGACAAUGGGCGAAAGCCUGAUGCAGCAAUGCCGCGUGAAUGAUGAAGGCCUUAGGGUUGUAAAGCUCUGUUACCCGGGAUGAUAAUGACAGUACCGGGAGAAUAAGCGCCGGCUAACUACGUG